ACUUUAUUUAACUAAAGUUGCCUCAUAAUUAAACAAUCGUGGACCGAAACGAGCAGAAAAGACUCUCCUAAGAGCUUCAGCCAAACUUCAAAUAUCAAUGUUUAUCAAGUUGUAAGUCCUCCGUGGGUUCGACUCACCGCGUUCAGUCCACGAUGGAAACACGCAGUAAGUGUGGGAUCUUUGGCUGGAGCUGAUCCGAUGAUGAUGAUGACAAAUAUGUCUGAGAAUCCAGCGCUGUGUGAUUAACGCAAACUUGACGCCACACUGCUUCUCUCACAGGAAAGAACCACAGAAACCGGGACACGGCGCUGUCGACGCAGACUCUGGUUUUCUGUGUGUUUUCUCCGCUUUGGGAGAGGAAAACCAGCUGACAGCGCAGUCGAUAAUCCUUCCCUGGUCCAACGUGUCAAGCUCUCGGUGGUACGGGAGCGGCUGGUUCGGUUAAAGUCGGCAGCCCGACCAGAACAAGUCAGAUACAACAAGCUAAAGCAGACGGUAAACUUACCGAGGGCUAAACUUACCAGCUUCCUUUACAUCCUGCUCGAUCCUGUGGCUUAUUGUCUCACGCGGCGGUGUUAAAUCCGACGACGACACGGCGAAACGACUGAAGAACGCGUAAAAGACAACUGCUGAUUAUAAACAGUCAUGAUACCCCUCCGGUGUACCGCUGAGUGGUCGGCACAAGCCCCAGGAAAUACGUCAGGAUCAUGGACGAAGCGGAGAACAGCGGCUCCUCACGGAACAGCAGCGCUGCUGCAGCUCCACCUGCUGGCCACGAGGGGAGCUGCGGCAUGGAUGUGUCGCUCGAAAACGAGCAGGCCCUCUCUGCCGGUUCAAAUGAGAUGGGAUCUGACUCCCACGCCUAACUUUUUCUUCUUCUUUUUAUCUAGUUGGUGAUAUUUUAUCCAGGCCUACCUACAAUUAAACGAAAUCAAAAGAA